rnacentral:lncRNA from 13 species
GGCCUGGCCCAUCUCCAGAAUCCCCUCUCAGUUCCAGCUGCCUGUAUUUUUGGCUAUUAAGCAUUUGUUUGAUGCCAGACAGUUCUAAAGGCUUUUCAUGUACUUCGGCCCUCACAGAAACCUUGUAUGGGAGGUGUUGUGACUGCUCCGGCUUUGCAGAUGAGGAAACUGGAGUUCAGAGAACACUUGCCUAAGGCCACACAGUGAGGAAGCAGUGGAACCAGGGUCCCGGCUCCCGGGAGCUGGCUUUAACCACUGUGCUCGCCUGUAAUUCACCCGGUCCUUCACUCAGGGCAGCUAUUAUACCCCUCAUCUGACCUAUUUAGUGAGAGAGGAAAACAGAGUGAAUGACCUGCUCGGGGUCACAGAGGGGACUGGAGGCACACCUGGGACCGGGCUUUCCUAGUGGACACAUACCACGCUUUGACGAGACCUCCCCGCUACGCUCAGUUUCGGAGGUCAGCCCUGCCACACCAAAAGGAAUCUUCAAGAUGUGGAAGAAACAGAAAACAAAGGGGUCCCGGGCUGCCCUGAGGCCACCGUCCAGCAAGAUCAGGACAGUUCCAAGGUUCUGUGAGACCAGAGCCUCCGUCUCCCGUGGGCAGAGGGUGUGUGUGGCUGCCACUAAUCUGCAGACGCUGGCUCCACCCCACAGAGUUGCAGGGCCAGGAAAUGUGCAUUUGAACCGACCCUUGCUUUCACACUUCAGAAACGGCUGGAAGCACCUCUCAAGUCUGACACAGGUUUGAUACUCCCUACUCUUCUCCCUCCCCCAACUUCUCCUUCC